rnacentral:rRNA from 2 species
CUAAACGACUCUCGGCAACGGAUAUCUUGGCUCUCGCAUCGAUGAAGAACGUAGCGAAAUGCGAUACUUGGUGUGAAUUGCAGAAUCCCGUGAACCAUCGAGUUUUUGAACGCAAGUUGCGCCCGAAGCCUUCGGGCCGAGGGCACGUCUGCCUGGGUGUCAUGU